rnacentral:piRNA from 1 species
UGGCGAACCAGCCACACUGAUGGCCCCAGC